rnacentral:rRNA from 1 species
GGAUUUCUGUCGUGGUCAUCCGGCUCCGCCUGUAUAGGUGUGCGCCUGGUUUGCCCUCGGCUUUCUUCCGGUAGCCUACCGCGCUUCACUGCGUGCGUGGGUGUUUUCCGGAACUUUUACUUUGAGAAAAAUAGAGUGUUUCAAGCAGGCUUGUCGCCCUGAAUACUUCAGCAUGGAAUAAUAAGAUAGGACCUUGGUUCUAUUUUGUUGGUUUCUAGGACCAAGGUAAUGGUUAAUAGGGACAGUUGGGGGCAUUCGUAUUUAACUGUCAGAGGUGAAAUUCUUAGAUUUGUUAAAGACGAACUACUGCGAAAGCAUUUGCCAAGGAUGUUUUCAUUAAUCAAGAACGACAGUAGGGGGUUUGAAGACGAUUAGAUACCGUCGUAAUCUCUACCAUAAACUAUGCCGACUGGAGAUAGGGAAUCCAUUAGCCCAAUCUUCCCUGCACCUCAUGAGAAAUCAAAGUCUCUGGGUUCUGGGGGGAGUAUGGUCGCAAGGCUGAAACUUAAAG